rnacentral:rRNA from 1 species
UACGGAGGGUGCAAGCGUUGUCCGGAAUCACUGGGCGUAAAGGGCGCGUAGGCGGCUCAUGAAGGCUGUGGUGAAAGUCCGGGGCUCAACCUCGGAUCGGCCGUGGCGACUCGUGGGCUGGAGCACUGUAGAGGCGGGUGGAAUUCCGGGUGUAGCGGUGGAAUGCGUAGAGAUCCGGAAGAACACCAGUGGCGAAGGCGGCCCGCUGGGCAGUGGCUGACGCUGAGGCGCGACAGCGUGGGGGGCAAACAGG